CCUACGGGAGGCAGCAGUGGGGAAUAUUGCACAAUGGGGGAAACCCUGAUGCAGCGACGCCGCGUGAGUGACGAAGUAUUUCGGUACGUAAAGCUCUAUCAGCAGGGAAGAAAAAAAGUCCUUUGGACUUUGGACGGUACCUGACAACGAAGCCCCGGCUAAAUCCGUGCCAGCAGCCGCGGUAAUACGUAGGGGGCAAGCGUUAUCCGGAUUUACUGGGUGUAAAGGGCGAGUAGACGGCAGUGCAAGUCUGGAGUGAAAUGCCGGGGCCCAACCCCGGAACUGCUUUGGAAACUGUGCAGCUGGAGUGCAGGAGAGGUAAGCGGAAUUCCUAGUGUAGCGGUGAAAGGCGUAGAUAUUAGGAGGAACACCAGUGGCGAAGGCGGCUUACUGGACUGUAACUGACGUUGAGGCACGAAAGCGUGGGGAGCAAACAGGAUUAGAUACCCCUGUAGUC
rnacentral:rRNA from 1 species